CACCUUCCACCUUCUAGAACUCACUCUCUCUUUUCAAACUCUCUGUCUUCUCUUCUCUCCACAUCACCAUAGCCCAACGAGAGCUCGAGACACCAUCACCACAGAUUCUAAUUAAAUCGAGACCCCAAACCACCAAAUACAAAACCUGCGCAACCUGGGGAUCCCUAUGGUACCGUGGUAUGUUAAAUUAUGUAAUGGGAAGUAGGAGAAUCCAAGCAGGGGUUCUCGGUGAGAGUAGCUCUAAUGGAAUCAAGCUACAACCUUUGAAUGCCUUCUAGCAUCUUGGAUUAAAUCUGGGUUCGAAAAUAUGGGUCUCUGACCUCUGUGAUUAUUUGUUCUUCACCCCAGCUUCUAGCAUGGAGCUCCGGCGAGGAACCCGUCGAACUUGGGGUCCCAUGAGCUCGAAUUGGUCCCGUUCGAAACUCAGAAAACCGGCAAUGGAAAUCCGACAUGUUCAUGUCGAAUCGAAGUGAAUUUGACUCGAUUUCAUCUGUUAUGAUGCCAUGAGGAAAUUAUCUGAAUUUCUGGUGAAAUUCUAGUGCAAACCCAUGUGAAACCGAGGUGUUUCACCUCUGUUCAUUCUCUGCAAUCAGUUCCAGAAACCAGCGAACCCACACCAGUGCAACUCCGGUGAAAUCUGAGACAAAUCUACCCUCUUUCAUCCUUAAUCUGUGAUUGGGUGCGAUGUUAUGAUACAAAGUUGAAUUAUGGGGCACCUAUGGUGGAUUAUACUCUCAUCAUCGAAAGUGACGACCAGUAGGCGGUAUUUGCAAAUAAAGAUUAGCGUGGCGAACAAAAUAAGCGUACCAGUACAAAAUAAAGCGCCCGGAGUAGGACAUUGACACCGAGCGAAUAGCUAAUCUAGCAAUUGAAGAUGAAUUUGCACAUGAUCCAAUUUAUAAAGGUUUGAUUCAUUUGGAAUAACCACAAGGUGUGUUUACCUUAUUUAGUUCUUGCUAUUUAUAGUUCAAUGUUUUUAAGCUCAGGUUCGUGCUUGUAUUGUCCCUAGUUGUAAUCUAUGCGUCUUCUUAAUUAGUGUUUAUCCUAUAUAUUCAUGGAGGGAUGUUCCAUGACUACCUAAAUAAACCAUUGUCCCUUAUUGUAAUAUUAAUUCAGAUUUUGAGAGUAAAACACAGCCUUUGGCUUGGG
rnacentral:sRNA from 1 species